ACAUGACUCUCGGCAAUGGAUAUCUCGGCUCUCGCAUCGAUGAAGAGCGCAGCGAAAUGCGAUACGUGGUGCGAAUUGCAGAAUCCCGUGAACCAUCGAGUUUUUGAACGCAAGUUGCGCCUGAGGCCAGCCGGCCAAGGGCACGUCCGCCUGGGCGUCA
rnacentral:rRNA from 1 species